UACGUAGGGUGCAAGCGUUGUCCGGAAUUAUUGGGCGUAAAGAGCUCGUAGGCGGUUUGUCGCGUCGAAUGUGAAAACCCGGGGCUCAACCCCGGGCCUGCAUUCGAUACGGGCAGACUAGAGUUCGGUAGGGGAGUCUGGAAUUCCCGGUGUAGCGGUGGAAUGCGUAGAGAUCGGGAAGAACAUCAGUGGCGAAGGCGGUCUGCUGGGCCGUUGCUGACGCUGAGGCGCGACAGCGUGGGGAGCAAACAGG
rnacentral:rRNA from 1 species